ACGUCAAAUCAUCAUGCCCUUUAUGUCCCGGGCUACACACGUACUACAAUGGCUGUUACAAAGGGCAGCGAAUGCGUAAGCAUAAGCGAAUCUCAAAAAACAGUCCCAGUUCGGAUUGUGGGCUGCAACCCGCCCACAUGAAGUCGGAAUUGCUAGUAAUUGCAAGUCAGCAUAUUGCAGUGAAUACGUUCCCGGGCCUU
rnacentral:rRNA from 1 species